UCAUCCAAACUUCACACACCUAGACCACAAGCAUCAAAAGCAAGCAAGCAGUAGUAACCACAAAUCCAACAUGAAGACCUUCCUCAUCUUUGUCCUCCUUGCCAUGGCGAUGAACAUCGCCACUGCCGCUAGGCAGCUAAACCCUAGCAACAAAGAAUUACAAUCACCUCAACAAUCAUUUUCCUAUCAACAACAACCAUUUCUACAACAGCCAUAUCCACAACAACCAUAUCCAUCACAGCAACCAUAUCCAUCGCAACAACCAUUUCCCACACCCCAACAACAAUUUUCCCAGCAAUCACAACAACCAUUUCCCCAGACCCAACAAUCAUUCCCUCUGCAACCACAACAGCCAUUCCCCCAGCAACCCCAACAACCAUUUCCCCGGCCCCAACUACCAUUCCCCCAGCAACCAGAACAAAUAAUUCCCCAACAACCAUUCCCCCUACAACCAUUCCCCCAACAACCACAAUAAUCAUUCCUCCUAGGACCGCAACAACCAUUUCCCCAGCAACCCCAACAAUCACAACAAUCAUUUCCCCAGCCCCAACCCCAGCAACCCCAACAACCAUCCAUCCUGCAACCACAACAACCAUUACCCCAACAACCACAACAACCAUUUCUACAGCCCCAACAACAAUUAUCCCAGCAACCAGAACAAACAAUUUCCCAGCAACCCCAGCAACCACACCAACCUCAACAACCAUAUCCACAACAACAACCAUAUGAGACUAGUCUUACAAGCAUCGGUGGCCAAUGAAAUGAAGACCUACAAUACAAGAUGGAUGGAUCAUCGUUGUUUAGUCAAUGAGCGUUCAAUGUAACGAUGAUAAAUAAAGUGAUGUGCACCAUAAUGUGUAACCCCGACCUAUACUAGUUCAAACAUGGGAAUAAAAGACAAAGAAAGUUCUUGUCACAAA